rnacentral:rRNA from 1 species
GACGAACGCUGGCGGCGUGCUUAACACAUGCAAGUCGAACGGAAAGGCCCUGCUUGCAGGGUACUCGAGUGGCGAACGGGUGAGUAACACGUGGGUGAUCUGCCCUGCACUUCGGGAUAAGCCUGGGAAACUGGGUCUAAUACCGGAUAGGAGCCAUUUUUAGUGUGAUGGUUGGAAAGUUUUUUCGGUGUAGGAUGAGCUCGCGGCCAAUCAGCUUGUUGGUGGGGUAAUGGCCUACCAAGGCGGCGACGGGUAGCCGGCCUGAGAGGGUGGACGGCCACAUAGGGACUGAGAUACGGCCCAGACUCCUACGGGAGGCAGCAGUGGGGAAUAUUGCACAAUGGGCGCAAGCCUGAUGCAGCGACGCCGCGUGGGGGAUGACGGCCUUCGGGUUGUAAACUCCUUUCGCUAGGGACGAAGCUUUUUGUGACGGUACCUAGAUAAGAAGCACCGGCUAACUACGUG